rnacentral:rRNA from 1 species
GUUGAACGCUGGCGGCAUGCCUUACACAUGCAAGUCGAACGGCAGCACGGGAGCAAUCCUGGUGGCGAGUGGCGAACGGGUGAGUAAAGUAUCGGAACGUGCCCAGUCGUGGGGGAUAACGUAGCGAAAGUUACGCUGAUACCGCAUACGAUCUAUGGAUGAAAGCGGGGGAUCGCAAGACCUCGCGCGAUUGGAGCGGCCGAUAUCAGAUUAGGUAGUUGGUGGGGUAAAGGCUCACCAAGCCGACGAUCUGUAGCUGGUCUGAGAGGACGACCAGCCACACUGGGACUGAGACACGGCCCAGACUCCUACGGGAGGCAGCAGUGGGGAAUUUUGGACAAUGGGCGAAAGCCUGAUCCAGCCAUGCCGCGUGCAGGGUGAAGGCCUUCGGGUUGUAAACUGCUUUUGUACGGAACGAAAAGGUUUGGCCUAAUAAGCUGAGCUCAUGACGGUACCGUAAGAAUAAGCACCGGCUAACUACGUGCCAGCAGCCGCCGUAA